rnacentral:rRNA from 1 species
UAACACGUAAACAACCUGCCUUCAGGAUGGGGACAACAGACGGAAACGACUGCUAAUACCGAAUAAGUUCCAAGAGCCGCAUGGCCCAUGGAAGAAAAGGUGGCCUCUACCUGUAAGCUAUCGCCUGAAGAGGGGUUUGCGUCUAAUUAGCUGGUUGGAGGGGUAACGGCCCACCAAGGCGACGAUCAGUAGCCGGUCUGAGAGGAUGAACGGCCACACUGGAACUGAGACACGGUCCAG